UUUCCCUCAGGAUAGCUGGCACUCGCUUGAGCGAGUCUCAUCUGGUAAAGCGAAUGAUUAGAGGCCUUGGGGCCGAAACGACCUCAACCUAUUCUCAAACUUUAAAUGGGUGAGAUCUCUGGCUUGCUUGAACGUUGAAGCCACGAGAGUAACGGAUCAGAGUGCCAAGUGGGCCAAUUUUGGUAAGCAGAACUGGCGCUGUGGGA
rnacentral:rRNA from 1 species